ensembl:lncRNA
UUGACGCUAGAAGUACCUAAGAUUUCAAUCUGUUUUGAAAUAUCAAGCUGUCAAUAUUUUCAUCCAUUUUGCAAAUAACCAUUAAGGGGAAUUAAAAUGCAACAUUGCUCAAGGAUUGCCAGUACAUCAUCCACACAGGAGGAGAGAGAUUAGAGCUGCCUUGACAGCUGCAGCCUCACCCAGCUGCAGCAGAUGAGCUGCCCACAGCACUCAAGGGCAGGAUUGUGGAGAGAAAAGGAUGCAGACACAACACACUGCAGAAGCUAAAAAAAUACUGAAAUUGUGCCUAUUGGGGCACACACAAGUUUUUCACAGUCCCAAUUUUUGGUCAGAGACAAGCUCUCCCAAGUGGUGAAGUGCUCCCUCCAUUCUGCUCAUGAGCUGACAUAUCAAACAUGACCCAGGGCUUUUUUAAUUAGCUCUUUGUGACUCUGAAAAUUCUUAGAGAUUAAUAUUGAGGGCCAAGCCUGUGGUUCAAAAUUUAUCUAGCCAAGAGAAGAAUUAUUUCUUCUGUAUGAAUAUCUAUCCGUCUUUUGCUUUAAAUUCAGUUUAUUAGCCUUAAUUUGACUGAUGAAAAAUCAAAUCAGUCACAUGGUUCAAUUAAAAGCAGCCAGACAUGUUGGGCUUUUUCCUGUGCAUAUGUAGCUCACAAACAAAGAGAAUAAUAUAAUAAUGGCCAAAGCAUUUGUUUGUAUUCAACAGAAGAAGAAUACAUCAGACUAAAGCAAUCCUGAACUAAGUCACUCUAGGAUGCAAAGCAGCAGAGUUAAAUUAGAUCCCCUAGGAAUUUAACUUCAAACCUAUUGUGUUUUCAGGAUGCUUUUAAAAGUCAAUAGAUCUCUUGAAAUACUUUAUAUACAACCAACAGCUGGCUGCAAAGCAGCUAAAUCCGUUUCAGGGUGGUUCGUCCCAGCCUGGGAAUGGCUAAAAGGAGCAGGAGCACCAUGUGGUGGUACAGUGACCCCCUGCCCUCCCCAGCACACAGCUCCAGCCAGGCUGGGCAAUCCCACUCUCCUCAGAACCCUUUUAUCAGCUCUAAACUCUGGAACACGUGAAAAAAAUGCCCUCAGCCAGCCAGGGGCAGUCACUGCGGCUCUGGCAGGACAAUGGUUUGUACUUUGCUCAGCUUGAUUAAGAUUUCUGCUCCUUUCUUCCCCAAAGCCCACGGGAGAGUGGUGUUUUCAUAGAAUUACAGACUGGUUUGGGUUGGAAGGGACCUUAAAUCCCAUCCAGUGCCACCCCUGCCAUGGCAGGGACACCUCCCACUGUCCCAGGUGCUCCAAACCCUGUCCAGCCUGGCCUUGGGCACUGCCAGGGAUCCAGAGACAGCCACAGCUGCUCUGGGCACCUGUGCCAGGGCCUGCCCACCCUGAGUAAAGAAUUUCUAAUAUCUACCCUGCUCUCUUACAGCUUAAAGCCAUUUUCUGCUCACUUACAUAAAUACAGAGCAAAGGAUAAUCUUUUGUUUCCCCUUUUAUUAGGCAAAACACCUCCCAUCCCUGAAGGUUAGCCCUGGGCCAUACACACACUGCCAUUACACCUGUAACUAAAAACCUUCCUGCAGCACAUGUGGAAAUUAAAAUUAAAAACCUUCCAGUGGCCCAGGCAUGAGGCCUUGGGCACCACCAGCCCCUGCACAGCUGAACACAGACCCAUCCCACCCAGAAUUUGGAAAGAGGAACCCACAAUUUUGAUUUCUUACAGAGCCCAGAGAUGAUAGAGCUCAGGAGGGGCACGGUGGCUUUGGCAAAUGUGUCUCAAAGGUGAUUCUUGACAUUUGCAGAUCACUGACUGUGGCUUAUUUAAAGCAAGAAUCAGAGAAGUGUGACAAUGAGGCAUUGAAGUGCCCUGUGGAUGAAACAGCAGCAGGUGUGGAUGUGAGAUCUCGGCCAGAACCCUUGGGGCUGCUGCACUGCUCUGCUCAGUCUCCUUCCCUUAGUUUGGACCCUCAGGGCCCAGGAGAUUCUCCCAGGAUGAACAGCUGUGCUGGCAAGCUGACAAGAGGACCUGGCAAGUUAUAAACUUGUCAGUCCAAGUUCAGAGAGUUUGCAGCAGAUUUGCAGAAACUCUUUGCUAAAUAGAGCAGAUGAAAUAUUAUGCUAAAAGUUUUCUUUUUUCCUUUUACCCAAGGAAAUCCCCAAUUCAUCAGCAGGGCCAGAGUGUGACACCACAAAUUUCCACCUGAACUUUUGUCACCUGUGAUGUGAGAGUUCAGACCCUUAGGUCUGCCCAGCAAUUCCUAUAAUGGAGAAGUUUUUCCACAUGAAGAAAUUGCCACUGGGAAGCUUCACAGCAGGAACUGAGUGUGCUCCCAACAGAGAGAGGUCAGCAUCACAUUCCCACAGCACUGGGGUGCUGCUCAUUGCUGUGCUCACAAGAAGCUGGCAAGAAGGUGAACAAUGAAGAGCGAGGUUCCUGUGCCAUCACCCAGGGAAGUGCAGAACAUUGGCUACGAAGAGCUACAGGAUUUCAUUUCACUCAGCAAGGGACUGAGAGCUCCAAACACGUCUGAUUGCAGUGACUUACAAAGAGAGGCACUGGGAAAAUUGUAAUUCUGCUUUCACAAGGAGGAGUGCUACUACCCACAAAUGGCAUCUUGGCACUGUAACACCUGUAAGAAGGGUUAGCUUGAUAUACUGCAGCUCUUAAGAAAGGCAAAUUCAGUGCUGGGAAUUAUUAAGAAAGAAAUAAUAAAACAUAAUUAUGCCAGAACAUGAACGAACUGAAGAUCCAGUUUUUCAUUCCAUGUCACAUUCCCAGAGGGAAAGAGGAAACAGAAGUAUGGAAGCAGGAUUUCACUUUAUGGGUGUCUCUCCCCAGCAUAUCUGUAACUAUGGCAUUCUCUGAAGCAGAUCAGAGCCAUAACUGGCAAGCACAUUUCACUUGAGUAUUCAGAAGUUGUAACUGAGGGAACAAAUAGGAUAAUGAGAUUAUUUCCAAAACAAGUGGAUAAUCACCAGGUAUGACACAUCUCUGCAUUUUAAGGGAAAUUAUUAUUCUACAGCUUGGAUGGAAUUCUAAUUCAGAUCCAUUCCAACAGACACCCAAACUGUGUACCUGAAACUGAGGCUGUCUAAGCAACUGGGAACAGCAGGUGCCUGCUCAAUAAAGACUUAAUACAGAGUAAUUAAGUAAUUAAGAAAAAGAACCAAACAGGCCUGUUUUCCUUCUGCUCUUGCACAGGUAGGACUGGUUCUGUCUGCCAAGUUCUCCCUCCACGAGGAGAGUUCAGAUACCAGCAGGCCAUGGCCAGUAACUGAGACCCAAAGCAGAAAUCUGGGAGCACAUCCAUUGAUGGGUGCUACCUGCUGGAGAAGUCUUCUGUCUCAUACUUACCACACAGGGAAUUUGAGUCAGGAAUAGACAAUCCUUAGAUUUCAAGCCCUGGGCUGAAUGUCACUGCUCAGUCACUUCUGCCACAGGAAGAGGCAGCUGCAGAGGUAAGAGGUGAGUUUUACAGUCCAUCAGCUCUCCCAUGGUGGCUGUGUAGAGGCAUUUGGGGUAUUUGCUGGCAGUGCAACUCACUCCAUGGUCAGUGGAUGUUUCCACAGGACAGCAGUGUGACAUUCACCCCAGGGAUCACCUCAGCAGAGCCUUCAGACCUAUCCCACCUAUCCCAUACCUGAACAGGAGCUCUCAUCCUGGCAAUGCACCUCAUGCACAGGGCAGCAUCUACCAACCAUCCUGAGAUAGUAAUUAAUUAACUGUUCUCUGUAUAAAACCAUCCAGUUCACUGAUAAAUGGACAAUGGUGCAAACCGUAAUAACAAAUAAAUUAUCCACUGCUGUCUCAUAGAAUCCAGUGCUGACCCAGGUCAUCACUGAAACUGCAACAGCUUCUCGUAAUGAACACUAAUUGGAAAACAAUAUUAAUGAGGCAGUAAGUGCCAUUACUAAAUCCAUUCUGUUGUCAUCAUUAGGCAAGUCAACAGUCCUGUUCUGCGCUAAUUAGGUCAGAUAGCAGAAGCUCGGAAAGAAGAACAUUAACCAAGUGUAUCUGGAGCAUUCCAGAGACAGCCAGAAGGGAUUUCUGAGUACUCAUUGCCUAUGGAAUUUUGGAAUCCCCUUAACAAGUCAUUCCAGUUAGAUCAAGAUCCAUUGGUUUAAUCCUUUCCCUCACUCUCUCUAGUAAAGCACAAAGCACUUUGUCAAGUUUUCAGCUGAGGCCAAGUCAGCAAGUUUGUCCUGUUUUGCUCAUGCAGUAAUGCUGAUUUGCUGUCCUUCUGAUAGGGGACAACUUCUCCUCACAGGUGACUCUGGUCCAAUUCAAAGCCACUCUGUUUCAGUGCUACAAGGCUGAAAUUUAGAUUCUCCAGCCUUUUUCUUUUAACAGGCACCAAGGACAUUUAAGUACAUUGUUGGGCCAGCAUCACACUGACUUGUGCUAAAUUUACAAACUAAAUUCCCAUGGCUUGUAACUACUGGAAUGACACCUGCCAUGAUUACCCAUACCUGAAGUUUGUAAACUACCAAAAAGAUCCUUGUUCAUCCCAGAUUAAAUCCAGGAUGGUUGCAGUCAACUGACCCUAAAGGCCCCACGAGCUGAACUAAGUGCCCUCUGGACAUGUUGUGCUUGUCAAGGCAACAGACAAAAAUAAAAAAAACCAAAUCAAAAUUCUUUGUUAUCUCUCUGCUGAAGCUGGGUUGAUGACAGGAGUCAAAUUCAAGUGGUUGUUUUUUAUUCCAUAGUUCUACAGAAUACUCCUUUCACUAGCCUUGUCACAGUGUACAUGAGAAACAUUUUUCAGUCACUCAAACAUACCCUUUGUAGUUCUUGGGGGUUUUGUUUGGUUUUCAUAAUUUUUAGAAAGUAAAAAAUCAUGUCAGGGACAAAUUAAAAGGGAUGAGUUUGGCUGAUCACAUUUCUAUCAAAUGACAGGAGUCAAAAACGUCAAUGCACUAAUCUGUAAACAUUUCCCCAACAACUGCAGGAAGGAGAUGCAGCUGAAGAAGAGUUGGGUACUUACUUGGUUAGACCCCCAACCCCACCAUUUGUACCAAAGAUCAUCUUAAGCACGUAUCAACAACUGCCAACCAUUAGUCAGCAUGCUGAAUUUAAAUAUUUCAACUCCUCAAAUAAAGAAAUGAAAUUAAUCUAAAAAUAUUUUAAUGUAGCAAGCUUGGCUAUAGAACCAGUGCAACAUAAAAACGAACCAACUUUACUGCUUAACACAGUAAGCUACAGAUGCAACAGAUUCACCACAAGUUAUUUGGUUAAAUUAAAUACUGAAGUUAGGAUCAUGCUGUUGGUAAUUCUGGUUUUACAGUACCAAUGCUCAAGUUGGCUGAGUUAGUUUGACUGUAAGGAAAAUGCAAGUUUACAGAGAAACAAAAUAAUUUAGUAUAGUAUCCUGUAUUCUGUUCCAUGCUAAGUCACAAUGAUAAUGUCUUCAACAGAUAAACAACAUUUCAGCAUUAUGUAAAUAAUGCCAAAAAAUACAGGAAUUGUAAUGCCAAAUUUACAACAUAAUACAGUGCUUAACAAACAGAUUCCUCAGGCAUGGGGGCAGUGGUGACAAUGCUAAACAGGACUAGAAGCAUCCAAGCCCUACUCAGUGCAUACACAGUGGACCACACUGACAGGAAUGCUUUACCUUUUGAUGGAAUUGUCACUCUACGAGUUUGUGUCCCAAACAUGAUGCAGUGGAAAAGAAAUGUUAAACCCUUGCCUCAGACAUGAAGCAAAAGCACAUGUUAUUUACAAACAUGAACCAGUAAAACCACAUUAAGUAAGACCAGAGAAAAACUGUGAUCACUUGACAGAGAUGGCAGAGCUUGGUUACUGUACUGUGUGAACCAGGACGGUAAUGAAGUUGUAAACAAAUUUAACCAAAUUAGGUUAAUGCAUCUAUUCUUAACUCAAGAAUAUUGCCAUUUCAGCAGACAGUGAUUUUUAAAGCUAAGGACAUUAUCAGAGGUUUUAUUUUUGUUUAAAGCCAAAACUUUAAAAGCCAGGAAGAUGGCAAAUUAUUUUUGUUCCUUAUUAGCCUUCACUAACAGCACACUUGAACAAAAUUUUCAAACCCCCUGAUUUUAUCUAAUUCUGCUCCAACUUAAGUAGCUGGUAGCAAAGUUGAAGCAGACACACCAGCACCUGAACAUCCCUUUCAGAGAGGCUUGGUUUACACCACUGGGGAUGAGUUCAGAUUGCUACACUGAACACAAAACACUGAAGCCUUAGGUCUUACUUGAAAAAGAAACACUUCCUCAAAAUUAAACAGGCUUUGCAAAUGUGCAAAGAAAGACACAGGAAAAUCAUAUUUGAUUCUGUCAAUCCCAGCAGUGUCAAACUCAUUUUUCCUCCCCACCCUCCAACCAAACCACACUGCCAAAGUGGCUGGAGAGACACGGAUUAAAUACUCUGACAUAAAGCCUGGAUACAAAACAAACUUUGUCCCUGCCGCAUCUUAUUUUUUUAUUUUUUUCUUGCAUUUUGUAAUGAACCCAUACAAGCAUGAAGGGAGUUGUGUCAGUAUUUUGUCUUGUUCUUUAAAGCAGGCAUAAGAGUUGUGCCAGACAAAACUGAACAAACUUUUAUUUCGCUUCAGAAAGAUUUUUUUUUAUAUUACCAACCUAUUUCUCUUCAUAACUAAAAGUGAUAAAAAAUAAAUCCAUAGCAAUGGAAAAAAAAAAAAAA